rnacentral:misc_RNA from 1 species
UAAUAGUCCCACCCUGUGC